UACGUAGGGUGCAAGCGUUGUCCUGAAUUAUUGGGCGUAAAGAGCUCGUAGGCGGUCUGUCGCGUCUGCUGUGAAAACUCGGGGCUUAACCCCGGGCCUGCAGUGGGUACGGGCAGACUAGAGUGCGGUAGGGGAGACUGGAAUUCCUGGUGUAGCGGUGAAAUGCGCAGAUAUCAGGAGGAACACCGGUGGCGAAGGCGGGUCUCUGGGCAACAACUGACGCUGAGGAGCGAAAGCGUGGGGAGCGAACAGG
rnacentral:rRNA from 1 species